rnacentral:lncRNA from 1 species
CUGACCCCUAACCCUAACCCUAACUCCCACCAGAGCCUGUGAGGUUCAUGCAAGUGUGGAGAGAUGUCUCCCUGUCCUCAGUGUCUAUCAGCUAGAGAGGAAUGUGACCAGAGUGCACACUGUCAAGGAGAUCUUUCCAUCUAAGUGACCAUGUGACUCCCAGAGUUGCAAACAGAAUGGUUCCUCCCCACCCUUCCCCAAAAUGUGGUCGUUAAAAUUUCUGAAAACUUGACAGGGUUUGGUUCUAGCUCUGCGGGGGGGAAAGUGGUCAUCACCAAGAGGGUUGUGAGAGUACUGUGGAAAAGACCAAAGAAUCUAAGAAGGUAGAUAUUUACUGACACAAGGAGUAAGUGACAGGUCACUGAAAUGUCCGUAAAGGCAUUAGCGACAAUAUGCUCAUAUAGUACCUACUAUAUGUCAGAUGCUCUGAACUAAAAUCCUUCCCCCAUUUGCAGGCAACUAAACCAAGAGGUAUCUGUCUAUAAC